rnacentral:rRNA from 1 species
UACAGAGGUCCCAAGCGUUGUUCGGAUUCACUGGGCGUAAAGGGUGCGUAGGCGGUCGGGUAAGUCUGAUGUGAAAUCUCACAGCUUAACUGUGAAACUGCAUUGGUUACUAUCCGGCUCGAGGAAUGGAGGGGAGACUGGAAUACUUGGUGUAGCAGUGAAAUGCGUAGAUAUCAAGUGGAACACCAGUGGCGAAGGCGAGUCUCUGGACAUUUCCUGACGCUGAGGCACGAAAGCCAGGGGAGCAAACGGG